UUGAAUCGCCAUUCUUACUGUGGCUAUGUCUGCAACUUUGAAGUUGAGAAAAAGUGCCACAACAUCUUCUCAAAGACAAAAACGGAGAUUUCCAACCACAGACGUAUAAUUACUGGUACAGGUGAGUUGAUGAUGAAAUUGUAAAUUAUGGUGAAUACAAGUUUUAUGACCAAUAGAUAGGUGCAUAGGCCUACAUAUACUGACGAGUACGCGAGUGUUAGGAGAACUUGUGUAUCACAUUAAAUAUACACGUAUACUUAUGCAUCCCAUUAACACAGUGAGAUUAAAAUGCGUAUUUCAUCCAGGCAAAUCUUUCAUUUCAUUUUCAUUGCAAGGAAUUAUACCGAUAAAAAGAUAAUGUGGGGUAUUUACCUUUGUUCGUUUUGGCCACUCAUUUCGCUCACAAGUCGUUUCGGCCCCUAGUUGUUUCGACCCUUUUAUCUUUUAAAUUGUCUUAAUCAUUUAAGGAACUUGAGAAUCAUAACAGCAUUCCUUAUGACAUUGUUAUUCAACAAUUAUACAUGAUUUCAGAAAUUAAAGUAACAUUUCAUGUGAUAAAAAAGACCCCCUCCCCCAAUUAAAUAUUUGAUAUGUCAUAUGCUUUUAAAUUCAUGUUAUUUAAAACACGUACAUUUCUUUUAUAAUUCUAUACAGUGCAUUGCAGUAAUAUUAUAUUUUAACACUUUAUAAAUCCUGUAGGAUAAAAAGAAAUCCACACAGUAUGUAGCAAUUCAAUACAUUUUUACAGAAGACAUUUUUUUUGCAGGUGGUGGUCCUUCUCCGAAGUCAUUGAGUGCUGUAGCGGAAGCUGUUACUAGUGUAAUUGGGGCAAAUAACACUUGCCUGAUGGGUAUAGAGGGAGGCAUUGAUACGUCCCUGCUAAACCUAGAUAUACUUGGUGAUGAAUCUGUGGGAAUCCAUGUAAUUGAAGGACCUCCAGAUACAGAUCCCCACAUUCUUGGAUCAACUCCCCUAGAAGUAACAUCUGUCCUGGAGUCUUCAUUGCCAUUGGUAACCUCAGGCAAUAGCAGCAGGGACAUUAACCUGAAAAGAAAAAUGGAAGAACUAACUUGCAGGAAGCUGGAACUAGAAGUCCAGUAUUUGGAAAUGAAAAUAAGAAAGCUUAAAAAAAGAGGAAUGAACCAUCCUUAGAUUAAGAGACUGAUCAAUAUUUUUGCUGUUGUUUGUCAGCAUCUUCAGGUAGUUCAGAUUCAAGUAUUCAAAUUCAUGGCCACUGUGGUUAGGGUGAGACCAGAGUAGGGGAAACAUUUUAUAUGUGACUAUCAGAAUAUGAUAUAUUUUAAAAACUAUUUUCUCAAUAGAAUCAAAGUUGCAAGCAUUGUCGAAUGUUCAUAUUAGUUCAUUUUGUGAACCCUGAGUGUAGGAUAGGGCCACAAUAAGGGAUCAGAGUUGUACAUGGGAUUAUAUAUUUAAGUUUAAUUUUAAGUCUUUAAAAAUCUUCUUAUCAUGCACUGCUAGCUAUGAUUAUAGUCAUGAUGAUAAGCAAGCAUCCUCUGCUAUUGUAUAUUCAGUUUAUUCAAAUCAUGGCUCUAGAGGGUACAGUGGGGCCACAACAAUGGAUCAGAUUUUUACAUGUCAAUAUAUUGGAAACAUUUUUUUAGAAAUCUUUUAAGGAACUGCAGGGCCAUGGUUAUCAUAUCAAUGUAGUAUAGGAAGAGGAGAACAAUUAUAAGAACAACUUAACAAAUAACAACCCAAAAACAAACUGUAACUUUUUUCUUACUGUGUGUUACGAAUUUUCAAUAAAUGUAAAUCUUAUAUGACUUUUUAAGGAAAUUUUGCAUAUUCAUAUAAACUGUUAAUUUUUUCAGUUUCCAUAAACCUUGAUAGUUUGUGACAUUGUUUAUCAAAGAAUUAUUUCAUUCUCAUUACUAUAUAUAAGUCAGAUUGAAUCCCUAAAAUUGAUUGUUUUUCAUUGCAAUGAGUUGUCAUUACGUGAAUGACUAUAUAUAUGUGACUUAAUUGUCCAAAAUUUAUUGUUUUACAUUAAUUAUGAGUAUCAUAUUACAGAUAUAACUAUAUCGACAAAUUUCUGUUACAACAUAUUUUUAAAAUAAUUUACAAGACAUGCAAUUAGUACUUGUAUAUGGUAACUGUCAAAACUCUGCUCGCUCUUAUGAAAUUUGUAAAUGUGAAGUGUGUGUAUGUGUGAUACCAGAAUUUUUGCUUUCUGAAGAAAACAUGAAUGAAAAGUAUUUUCUUUUAAAAUUUAGUUGCACACUGUAUACCAGUAAAAUAUAUGAAAUAUAAUAUCUGCCUUUGACUGUUAUUCAUGAAAAUUAUUUAUCAAUUUAUUUGACUCAACUUGUAUAAUUCUUAAACUAAAUAAAUUGAUGAUCAUGAUAAAACACAUGUCUGUAGUAGUUUUGUUUUCAUUCUGGCCAAAAUUGAAAUAUGUUUGUUUGCCCAUUUCUGAUUGGAGGAUUAUAGACAAUAGUUAAGAGGGUAGGAAAUGUUUUACAUGUACUUUUUUCUUUCUUUUUUACAAUUUUGAUACAAUAAUCAAUUGGUAUUAGUAUAAAGUAAUGUUGAAUGUCUGAUUUAAAGAAAAAGAAAUUUAAUGUAUACUAAAAUGAUUUAAAAGGAAAACAGGGGUUGAAAAUUAUCAUCAGUAGGUCAGAUAUAAGGGCAAACAAACAAUUUUUGAAUUAAAACCACAUUUAAUAAUGCAUGAAUUCAGUUUUUAAAAUAUGUGAAAUAUAAUUUUUAAUCUCUAUCUUAAAUGUCCCAGCCUCCAUAAUGCUUACUAAUCAAAAGUGAUUUUCUGCAAAUAGUUGUCUGUACCUUAGUCCUUCUGUUUGACCAUUCUGAUGAUUACCAGUAGCAUGCCCAUCAUCUUGUUGGUUGUUAACAUUUUCAUCAUCAUUCCCACUAUCAUCAGCUGGGCAAGGUAUCUGUCUAGAUUUGCAUAUGUUGUGCAAAACGCAGCAAGCAAUGAUGACUUGGCACACCUUUUCUGGAGAAAGGCGGAUUUCUCCAUGCAGAACAUGGAAUCUUCUCUUAAGUUGGCCUAUCCCUCUCUCUACAACACUUCUUGUUUUCUUGUGAGCCCUAUGAUUGAAUCAAAUCUAUAUAAUAUAUUAGGAAAACUAUAAUAAUAACAACAACAAAAAAAUAAUAAUAAUAAUGGUAUGUAAAAUUUAUGAAAAUCUGAAAAUUUGAAAAUCUGAAGAAAAACCAUUGUCAGGGUGUCAAGCCACUUUUGGUUUAAAUAAUAUAGGAUUAUAGGAUUUUUUUUUGCAGUUUAUUGGGAAAAUAUUGGGAUUUUACUGCAGAUUUAACCACAAGUUUGUUAUAUUGAGCUGACAGAAGGACUGACAUUGAUCAGCAUAUAGACAGUUUCAAAAUGUUAGAAGUGGAUAAAUUGAACAUUUAAAAUAAAAUAGAAAGGUUUGAAAUUGCUUAUUUGAAACUAAUAUAAUGAAAUGGAGAAAAUAUGAUCUAGAUGACAUGGUAUAAUUUAGUUCAUAUUUGCCCAGUCCAUUGAUUUUAAUAGCAAGCCAUGCUUAUAGUGACAAUCUUCAAAUGGAUUGCUGAUUCAGUAAAUGUUAAAAUAAUAAGAAUAUGCUAAAAUGUAAAUUAAAGAAGUUUCGAGAGAAGUAUUUCAGUUUCUUAAAAAGCCAUUCUCUUAAAUUAGUGUUGUUUUGUCAAAAAUACAUGUAACAAAAAUACAUAUCUGAAUGUAUCACAGGUAUGAUUGUAUCAAUAAGCAUAUGGCUUAAAUUUUGCUGCCAAUUGGCUACACCUACAUAGGGCUUUAUAGGGGGACUUAGAGGGAAAAUAUAGGAACCUUCAAGUUUAUAGGGAAAUAUAGGAAUAAAUAGGGACUUUGUACUGUGCUGGGAAUGACAAAAAAUUUAAUAAAAGCAUUAUGUUUCAUUUGAAUUAUUGUAGUAAAAAAAAAUUCCCACCCACCCCAAUAAUCAAUGCUCAUCUAUUUUCUUUAAAAAAAAUCCCCACAUUUCUUUACACUAAAUGUUUUUAUUGAAAUAAUUUUUAAGUUUGAAUUUUUUGAUUUAAAAAAAUAAUGGACAUAAAUAUCUAUUCUGGUAAAUAUUACCCGAGUUUGCGACACAGGUGCAGGUGACAUGGCUAUAUAAAUGUACCACUCUUUUAUUUACAAAAUAAUAUUAGUAAUGUACCCUUUACAUGUCAGUUAAAUAUAACAAUCAAAGUAGAUUUACAUUGUAAAAAAAAUCCUGUAAACAUAAUGUUAUUUAAUGAUUGCUGAUAGAUAAGAAUACAAUUUUAAAUGUCAGUUUGGAUCCGCCACUAUACUGAGUGUAGAGGGCGCUUUUGAGCAAAGAGAAAGUAGGACUUUCAGUACAGCCAUGAACGCGGAUCGAAAAACAAUGAUUCUCACCUGUUAUAAUUUGUCUGACAACCUUGAUUGGGAUGCAAAAAUGGAGUCAAGAGCCAUCUCUUCGAAGGAUACCCACUAUCUCCUAGCAAGUGUGUAUGGACAAGUAACCUUCCUUGGUCAAACAGUACUUUGAGACCGCUUUCGUUCAGAAUCCUAGCGUCAUGCGUGGAACCCGGCCAUUUUGCUAGGACAUCAAGGAUUUUGUAGAAUGGAUCAAAGACCACCUGUGUGUUGAUGCUAUGGUAAUGGUGUCUAUUUACAUACUCAUUUUCAUAUUCACUCGGGGCAAUUAUUUGAAUGUGAGUGCCGCCAAUGGUCCCAACAACUCCCGGAAACCCAGCGAUAGAGGAAAAUUCCUCUUGGUUUUUAUGAAUGUCAGGAGUAUUCUGUGGGAAUUUAAUGAAUUGUGAAACAAUUCUUUGGGAGGACAGACUUUGGAGGGUUGCAGUUAUAGCCCUAGACACGGUGGACUGGGAAACACCCAUGUCGUCUCCGUUACACAGCUGCAUCUUUCCAGUGGCAAGAAAUCGUAGAGUCAGCAAGAUUUUCUGAACUGGCGAUACUGCACGAUUUCUCUGUGAACUACUGAUAAUUUCAUGUGCAAUCAAACUUUCAAUGAAAUAAAUACCGACUGAAUCCAGUCUGAACCUUUCCACAAGUUGUGCAUCACUGUACUGAGCUAAAUAGUCCUUUCUUUCUCGAAAACAUCGCCUGUGUGCUCUAUUGGCGGCCAUUAUGAUUCUUGACUUAAGUUUUUCUUAACAAUUUAAGACUGCUAAAGACUACACUUAAAGUUAAGAACUGUUUAAGAAUUUUCUUACACUUAAGUUGUUUUAUGAAUAAAACUAAGUAGAAAAACUCAAAAUCUUA